ACGUAGGGGGCAAGCGUUAUCCGGAUUUACUGGGUGUAAAGGGAGCGUAGACGGAAAGGCAAGUCUGAUGUGAAAACCCGGGGCUCAACCCCGGGACUGCAUUGGAAACUGUUUUUCUAGAGUGUCGGAGAGGUAAGCGGAAUUCCUAGUGUAGCGGUGAAAUGCGUAGAUAUUAGGAGGAACACCAGUGGCGAAGGCGGCUUACUGGACGAUGACUGACGUUGAGGCUCGAAAGCGUGGGGAGCAAACAG
rnacentral:rRNA from 1 species